rnacentral:rRNA from 1 species
UACGAAGGGGGCUAGCGUUGUUCGGAAUCACUGGGCGUAAAGGGCGCGUAGGCGGCCGAUCAAGUCGGGGGUGAAAGCCUGUGGCUCAACCACAGAAUUGCCUUCGAUACUGUUUGGCUUGAGACCGGAAGAGGUUAGUGGAACUGCGAGUGUAGAGGUGAAAUUCGUAGAUAUUCGCAAGAACACCAGUGGCGAAGGCGGCUGACUGGUCCGGUUCUGACGCUGAGACGCGAAAGCGUGGGGAGCGAACAGG